ensembl:lncRNA
GCCGCCUGCCGUCGCACAGGACCCGGUAGUGGCCUGGAGACCUAGGCAGGGCCCCUGGCCUGACACAGAUUGUAAGGUGAGGCCUUUGGCUGCCGGGAUUUUGGCUCCACCUGCAAGCAUUAGGGCAGAAGGGGGGUCGGGUGUCAUAGCACCGCCAGCAGGAUCGGGGUAGAUUUCUCCCGUGGCUGCGUUAUGAACUAUCCACGUCAGAUUUUGGUGAGUGGGGGUUAGUUUCAGCCGCGAGGGGCUACAGCGCAGGUGAUGUUAGCGGGUAAGUGGGAGCGACCCUGCCCUAGCUCCUAGCUUUAGGGGAUGGUCCUCGGCGGGCCGCCUCGGGGGGCAGCUGGCCGGCGCGGGUGCAGCGACCCCCGGACUUACUCCCUAACAGCAUCUAAAAGCCCGACUAGGGGAUCCCUGGGUGGCGCAGCGGUUUGGCGCCUGCCUUUGGCCCAGGGUGCGAUCCUGGAGACCCGGGAUCGAGUCCCGCAUCGGGGUUCCGGUGCAUGGAGCCUGCUUCUCCCUCCGCCUGUGUCUCUGCCUCUCUCUCUCUCUCUGUGUGUGACUAUCAUAAAUUAAAAAAAAAAAAUUUAAAAGCCCGACUAGACCUUUCGGGUUAUCCGAGCACUUUGCAUUUUGGGUUCUCCAAUUACAUGAAUCACUGCUGGAGGACGGCCAGGACCCCGGUCGCUCUCGGGUCUCGUCGGGGGCGGGGCCGCCCGCGGGUCCACCCGCCCGCCCCGCCGCGGGCCGCGCUCCGGGACCCGUCAGGGAGGGGCGCCCCGUCUGCAGCCCCCGCGCCUCCGGCAGGGCGGCGGGAGGAUCAGGUCCUGGGGGAGGAAUCCUGCACGACCGGUCUUUUCCACCUAGUAAUUCCAUCCUCACAAUUGAUCGCAGCAGAAACCCGAAUGCAGUUUUGCCUCUCGGCCUCCUGAAACUAACUCUUCCACCGGCCAAAAAAUAAAGACAUAAGUGGUUAUAAAGUGUCCA